rnacentral:rRNA from 1 species
AUUGGGCUCCAAAAACACCUGGGCUUCAUUCUUUGACUCUUGGCGCGCUGGUGGGGGGUUUGAUGAGGGCUUUAGGCUAGGGGAGCCAGGUGAUCGAAGAGGGAAAGGCGGAGAGUUAGGCGCGCCGCUGCUUCCCCUCCCUUAGGGGAUCCAAAAAUCGACGCUCGCAGCGGCCGCCCGUCAGCCCCCGGCGCUGCCGGUUCCCCUUGCCCUCACGCCUGGCAGCGCCUGGAGGCGUCUCCCCGUCGCACAGUUGUCGGCUUCGUGGUCGUAAGGUGGGCUCGCUGGUGCGUGCGCUCCUUAUCCUCCCCUUCGAGAGCCACCGCGCACCGCCGCUUGCAGAGGCAAUCUUCCAUCAGUUGACCCUGUCGAAGCUCUACGUACAAGUGUUCUCCCACUUUCUGGUACAAUCGAGUGGCCUACAACGGUUCGUCUAGGGGUAACUCUCCAACUCCACUGGUAGGCGCUGGUCACGCUUCCGUCGGUUUCCUGUACGUAGACAACCACUACCCUAGACAAUCCUACGGUUGGUUUCACGAGUUGUAGUGGUGGUUCUUCAGGGGAACACAGCGUUCCACUGGAACACCACCACCACGCGGCGGAACGAAGGCCGCGAUUGCUCUACCACCCCAACAACGGCACCAAUGGGCACCAAUCCACUCACUAAAUCACUGUUCACUAAGUAAAAGUAGAGACAACCUUAUAUUAUUGUUUU